rnacentral:rRNA from 1 species
UCGGAUUAGUGGCGAACGGGUGAGUAUCACGUGAGUAACCUUCCCUUAACUCUGGGAUAAGCCCGGGAAACUGGGUCUAAUACCGGAUACGACCAGUCCUCGCAUGGGGUGCUGGUGGAAAGAUUUAUCGGUUUUGGAUGGACUCGCGGCCUAUCAGCUUGUUGGUGAGGUAAUGGCUCACCAAGGCGAUGACGGGUAGCCGGCCUGAGAGGGUGACCGGCCACACUGGGACUGAGACACGGCCCAG